rnacentral:rRNA from 1 species
GAUGAACGCUGGCGGCGUGCCUAAUACAUGCAAGUCGAGCGAACAGACGAGGAGCUUGCUCCUCAGACGAUAGCGGCGGACGGGAGAGUAACACGUGGAUAACCUACCUCACAGAGUGGGAAAACUUCGGGAAACCGGAGCUAAUACCGGAGAAUAUAUUGAACCGCAUGGUGCAAUAGUGAAAGACGGUUUUGCUGUCACUUAUAGAUGGAUCCGCGCCGGAUUAGCUAGUUGGUAAGGUAACGGCUUACCAAGGGAACGACGCGUAGCCGAGGUGAGAGAGUGAUCGGCCACACUGGAGCGUGGACGCGGUCCAGACUCCUACGGGAGGCAGCAGUAGGGAAUCGUCCGCAAUGGGCGAAAGCCUGACGGAACAACGCCGCGUGAGUGAUGAAGGUCUUCGGAUCGUAAAACUCUGUUAUUAGUGAAGAACAAAUGUGUAAGUAACUAUGCACGUCUUGACGGUACCUAGUCAGAAAGCCACGGCUAACUACGUG